rnacentral:misc_RNA from 1 species
GAUGAAGAACGUAGUGAAAUGCGAUACGUAAUGUGAAUUGCAAAUUCAGUGAAUCAUCGAGUCUUUGAACGCACAUUGCGCCCCCUGGUAUUCCGGGGGGCAUGCCUGUCCGAGCGUCAUUGCUGCCCUCAAGCACGGCUUGUGUGUUGGGCCCCGUCCUCCGAUCCCGGGGGACGGGCCCGAAAGGCAGCGGCGGCACCGCGUCCGGUCCUCGAGCGUAUGGGGCUUUGUCACCCGCUCCGUAGGCCCGGCCGGCGCUUGCCGAUCAACCCAAAUUUUUAUCCAGGUUGACCUCGGAUCAGGUAGGGAUACCCGCUGAACUUAAGCAUAUCAAUAAGCGGAGGA